ensembl:misc_RNA 7SK 7SK RNA
GGAACAGAGGACAAAUUAGCUGUAACUGUUACACCAUUAACCCCCAGAGUUGAUGCUGUUCAUUUUCCUGGCUAGGCCAGUGUCUCCUUCUCUCACCACUCAAUGUGCAAUCCUCUUGAAGCUGCACACUUGGAGAUAGGGGUUGGUGUUCUCUGGACUAUUUUUUAGUCAAAGAUGCAAGACUAGCUAUUCUCCCACUCCAGAACCUCCAAACAAACUCAGGAAUAAGACUGAGACCCAGCAUGGUGGCACAGGCUUCUAAUCCCAGCACUCAGGA